rnacentral:rRNA from 1 species
GCGGCGUGCUUAACACAUGCAAGUCGAACGACGACCUCCAGCUUGCUGGGGUGAUUAGUGGCGAACGGGUGAGUAACACGUGAGUAACCUGCCCUUAACUCUGGGAUAAGCCUGGGAAACUGGGUCUAAUACCGGAUAUGACUCCUCAUCGCAUGGUGGGGGGUGGAAAGCUUUUUGUGGUUUUGGAUGGACUCGCGGCCUAUCAGCUUGUUGGUGAGGUAAUGGCUCACCAAGGCGACGACGGGUAGCCGGCCUGAGAGGGUGACCGGCCACACUGGGACUGAGACACGGCCCAGACUCCUACGGGAGGCAGCAGUGGGGAAUAUUGCACAAUGGGCGAAAGCCUGAUGCAGCGACGCCGCGUGAGGGAUGACGGCCUUCGGGUUGUAAACCUCUUUCAGUAGGGAAGAAGCGAAAGUGACGGUACCUGCAGAAGAAGCGCCGGCUAACUACGUGCCAGCAGCCGCGGUAAUACGUAGGGCGCAAGCGUUAUCCGGAAUUAUUGGGCGUAAAGAGCUCGUAGGCGGUUUGUCGCGUCUGCCGUGAAAGU